rnacentral:rRNA from 1 species
UAUACAGCGAAACUGCGAAUGGCUCAUUAUAUAAGUUAUCGUUUAUUUGAUAGUGCCUUACUACUUGGAUAACCGUGGUAAUUCUAGAGCUAAUACAUGCUAAAAACCCCGACUUCGGAAGGGGUGUAUUUAUUAGAUACAAAACCAAUGCCCUUCGGGGCUCUUUGGUGAUUCAUGAUAACUAUACGAAUCGCACGGCCUUGCGCCGGCGAUGGUUCAUUCAAAUUUCUCCCCUAUCAACUUUCGAUGUUUGGGUAUUGGCCAAACAUGGUUGCAACGGGUAACGGAGGGUUAGGGCUCGACCCCGGAGAAAGAGCCUGAGAAACGGCUACUACAUCCAAGGAAGGCAGCAGGCGCGCAAAUUACCCAAUCCCGACUCGGGGAGGUAGUGACAAUAAAUACUGAUACAGGGCCCUUUCGGGCCUUGUAAUUGGAAUGAGUACAAUUUAAAUCCCUUAACGAGGAACAAUUGGAGGGCAAGUCUGGUGCCAGCAGCCGCGGUAAUUCCAGCUCCAAUAGCGUAUAU